rnacentral:rRNA from 1 species
UACGGAGGGGGGCUAGCGUUGUUCGGAAUUACUGGGCGUAAAGCGCACGUAGGCGGCUUUGUAAGUUAGAGGUGAAAGCCCGGGGCUCAACUCCGGAAUUGCCUUUAAGACUGCAUCGCUAGAACGUCGGAGAGGUAAGUGGAAUUCCGAGUGUAGAGGUGAAAUUCGUAGAUAUUCGGAAGAACACCAGUGGCGAAGGCGACUUACUGGACGACCGUUGACGCUGAGGUGCGAAAGCGUGGGGAGCAAACAGG